UGUGAGCUCAUGGUGUUCUCAUCUUUUCCUGCGGGCUGUAUCUCCCCAGGUGAGAUGAACCUGUGGUUACCUGCCCACGGCGCCGCUCUGUGUGCCCUGGCUAAUCAUUAAACGUGUUUGUGUGACCCUUGACACCACAAGUGAGAACAAACUGGGUGUGUGAGGUGCAUAUCCCUCAUCGACACGCUGCUGCUGGGGGUUUGGGCACUGAUGUGUGCUGUCAGAGGGGCUCGUGAUGCAGCUGCAAGUUCUCCUGGCUGUUAGCUGAAGUUCAGCUGAUGCGCUUUGGUGGGUGCAGCCUGUCCGUCAGCAUGACCUUGCCAUGUGUUUAAUACUUGUUGUGACAUAAUUGCUUUAUAGGCGCUUAGCUGUUCUCUUAAUAAACAGCGCUCUGUGACUAUUGAUGCUCACCGCUUCCUGUGUACUCUGUGUCCUUCCAUCCAUGUUUCUCUGACUUGUUAUUAGUGUAAAAGUUGAAUGCUCUGCUUUUCCUCUUUUCAUCUUUUUUGCUUGAUGUGAGCAGUCUAUGGGCUUCUGGGCGAUAACAGCUCUGGUUCUGUGACAUGAUGCCAUUUAGGAAGUAUGUUGAAAGUGUUGAGCGCGCAGCAAAAGUCUUUUAUAUCAACGCAGCCUUGGGAGGAGGAGAUGUUUUUCUAUGUAUAGAAACUUCCCAUAUAGGAUGGUGAGGGAAGGCUGCAAGGGGGUUGCCUGUCUCUUUAAGUGGGUUUAUAAUUGGCCAGGAAUUUUUGUCAGCUUAGUCACUGCAGCAUUCAGCGGAUGAGGGAAAAAAACCACAGGCCCCAACCGUUACAGCCGUGGAUAGGCUCUGUCAUCCCAAAGGAAUGCAUGUGAACAAAACACUUUGUGCGGUGCAACGGUUGGCCUAAACAGUAUUGCAUUCUUAGAGCGGGCUCUGAGUCACAUGGAGCAGAUGGAUUGUUUCGCUAAAAUGGAAGUUAUGUAUCAGAGAGCACCGGACGGAGCUCGUAAGCGCGGUUCAGAGAGGUCAUGAUGUGGGUGUGGCAAAGGGGUGGAAAGGUAAAAGGAGGAAAAAGAGAAAAAAGAGAAGGAAUGCCCUUGUUGUUUGGUGAAAAUGGCUUCCGUGGCAUGAUAAGGGCGGGAGGAUGCUUUGUGCUGUUAAUUACAGGGCUGGCACGCGGCUGUGAAGACUUCUCCCUGGACAAGAGACAAGUAUGGUGUUAAUUCCGAGGCCUUCGUGGUCCUCAGAUGUGCGGUGCCGGGAAGCCUCGUGCUGCACGAGGUCAUCCAGAGAAACUGCUGUUGGUGGGAAAACAUGCCAAGCCAACAACAGCAAAAGCCCAACACCAAAGUGGAGCCCAGCCCUGCAGUCUGUGGUCAUGGUGCUGCUGCUCAGCACCUCCUGCUCUGUGCUCACCCCUCUCCAUCCCGCAGCCUCUCCAGCACACCUUGAGUUGGUCAGUGACAGUCAGCUCUGUCUCUUUGGGUGGCGUUUCCCAUCGUUUGGUUUUAUCUUUUCCUCAAAGAGAUCAGCAAUAACUUCCCAGGAGCAGUGCCCACCUCCAGCCCUAAAGUGUGGAGAGGAGAAGCUGCGACUUCUGGCUGAACCAGUUCAGAAUUGUGGAUGUUUUUAUGUUUGGUGGGGGAUUCUCUGAAGGAGCCCUUGUAGGCCAAGUGUUUCACCUGCAGUGCGUGGGGGAGGCUGUAUGGACAUCAGAGCUGGCUGUUUGCACCAAGCACGGUGUACAACUGAGGUUGUGAUGCACUGUCUGCACUGUCUUCAGUCGUUGGAGAGCCUGGGGCAGAGUGGUGAUGGUGAGCCUGGCAGCAUUCAGUGCUUCCUCCUCCCAGAACAGCCACCUUUUAUUAAGGAGAAAUACAUGAAAGCAUCAGAGUUCAGAGUUCUUAGUAUUACACCCACAGCGGUGCGCUCGUGUUGCUGGGACCAGCAGCACCUGCACCUGAACACUUUAAGCACAUCUAACAAGCCAAAUCUGUAUUAUGUUUAUUCAGUGAAACCGUGUGGUGAGAAGUGAAGCUCUUUAUGUGCUGAGAGGUCUGCAGCAUCUGACCGGGACACAGGGGUGCUGCUGGGAUGAGCACCUUCAGCAGGCAGCAGGCCUCUGUUCUGCCCUGUUGUCCCAGUCAUUAUUCCAGUAUCCAGGGGAGACUGACACUGGUGUGCACAGCUCUGUCUUGCCUCAUUAAACACAAUGCCUUUAAGCAGUAGGGUGUUUUGUUUUGUUUUGUUUUUUUUCUUAACGAAUCAUCCCCACCCCCCAGAUCUUACUAGAAGAACUUGAAAUAAAACGAGUCUCCCUGUUUGUGUUCUUGGCAGCAGCAGUGACUAUGGCAAUAACUUGCUGGGCUUCUUGCAGGCCUUACUCCUGUGUUCUUUGGAAGCUCUUUGCCUGUCCUGUCCUCCUUGCAUUGUGCUGUGUGGAGCUGGGAUCCUUCCUGCUGCUGCUUGUCGCCUCUUUCCGGAGCAGCACUGACGCGAUCUGCCUGUCUGUUGCAUUCUGCUGCUGCUUGGUAAACUAAUGAGCAGAGGCACUGCAGCUGCCAGCAGGAAUUCCUUUCCAGCAGUUUUGUGAGAAAAGUCAGCAGGAUUAGGGCUUGGUUAAAACUUGAUGUUUCAGCAGAUCUGCUAUGCAAACCAUUUGGAUGAGGGAGAGAGCAACCAGAGUGGCAACCAACUUUGCUUGAGGCAGGAGAGAACUGUGGGAACAAGAAGGAGACGGUCUUGUUCUCAACAGACUGUAGAGCCGCUCAGAUGUGAGCAGCUUGGCAUGCUUGAAUAUAUAUGUAUAUAUUAUAUGCCUCUUUUCUGGAACAGCGCUCUGAGCUGCCCUCUGUCCUGGCUUAGAGGCAGCAAUUAUUUCAGAAGCCUUUCUGAGUGGCUGCUCUGAUGUUUUGCUGUCAGAGGUGCCAGAUCAUGCACCAGAUCUCGGCUUUGCAGCACCUCCCUUGGUAUCUGUCUAGGGAAGGAGCACUGGGGCACCUCCCAAGUAUUUAAAAAUAGAAAUAAACAUCUCAUGCUCUUUCUUCCUUCCUUGAUUAAAUUUGUAGGGUUUGUGUUGGGCUUGUUUUGGUUUGUGUGGGUAAAUGGGUGUGUCUCGUGCAUGGUAAAAGAAAUUGCAGGAAAGUCAGAGUCAAAGGAUUAUGUUCAUGCAUUAGUUUAGAAGCCACAAGGUCUUUGAUGGUUCUGCUUUCUGGGUCACUUUGCUGGGUUCUGCUGUUCUAACCGCUAAGAUUGAAUGUGUUUGUUUUGGUUCCCGGUGAUGGGUGUAAUGUGGUUGCGAGGGGAGGCCUCCAUCCCGGCAGUGAGAGGUCAUCUGUGGCCAUGGCAUGUGGGGGUCUGGCAUGGGACCUUGGUCUGUGCCCCCUGGAAGAGCAGAUACGGGAGGUGGAUCUCAUCCUCCUGCUGGCUGCAAAUAGCAGCUUUCUAGGAUGUAGGAAUUACAAGUCUAGCAGCUGCAGUAACCAACAGAGGAAGAGUCACAGAUGUGAUUAUGGUAACAUACUGCUUAAGUAAAAUUAGAUGUGGGAAUCGAACUUGUUUUUAAUUUUCUUGUUGUCUCAAGUGCUUUUUGUGCUACUUGUUUUUUCCAUUCUUGCGAGGCAGGUGUGGUUUUACCUUUUUAAUGUAGUGCAGUAAUGAAUGCUUGAACUUCUGUGCGUAGCUGUGGAAGAUGAGCUUGUCAGAACUAACAAAAACACAGCGUUUGGUUUGUGCUGCUGUGGGAGCUGUUGGGCCGCCCAGAGGCGAGCGAUGAACCAGUUGGGCAUGGAGCAGCCACUGGUUUAGCAAGGCAUGGAUGGAAGCUGGUGGUUGCAAACUAGUUUCUUGUGCUCUGUGACGCCUGGGCCGAGCUGCCUUAACUCUGUGAGGGGAUUGUUUCUCCAAGUGACUUCCAGUUAAAUCAUUAUCUGGGUUCAGAAUGAAUCUUUUGUUUGUGGUGUUCUGUCUCCAGGUGACCAGAGUGUUCCUGAGGGUUGGGUCGUGUAUGCAUGUCCUUUGGAGGAUCUCUGUUGAUACCUUAGUCUGCUUUCUCACUACUUAUUGUGCAGAAAGAGGGUGUGGUUAGAGCAGACUGCCCGUUCCUGUACUCCCAGUCCUGAAAACAAACAGCAGCAACAGAAGCGGGGAAGCAAAACAACACGCCGAGGAGAUGGAGCGAGCGCUUUACAAGCAGCGGUGGGGCCCCAUGUGCGCUGUGAGCCGCUCCAGGCGCUGCCGCCGCAGCCCAGCAGCGUGUCGGCAUGAGGCACCUCGAGGGGGAAGGCGAGGGUGGCCUGUUUCUGCCCUUUGUAUGUGUGUGGGAAGAGGAAUGACACGCCGUUUGGCUUUCCGUUCGGCUUCAUAAACCCGCAGCUCCCCACACUUGCUCUGAGGACGCUUGUUUACUGUGAGAGCAGAGAUUUUGUCACCGCUCGCGUCCCCGAGCGAGGUUCCUCCUGGCUCCGCUGGAGCUGGCUGUGCCUGGAAGGAGGGAGGGAGGGAGGCAGCGGUGCUGUGCCCUCUUGUUUUUCUCUCAAGCAGGAAGAAAAGCUGAGGAGCCUGUCCUCCUCCUCUGAGUCAGCUGUGGUUAUGGUUUGCUGAGUAGGCGUGAGUGUUUUGAAGGGAAAAGCGGCUUCCAAUUAAGGCAGCUCAACACUGCGCCCAAAUGAGUUUGGGGAAGCUUCCCCUCCCUCCCUCGCACACACUCCUGUUGGAGCUGACAGGUUGGGGGAAAACUGAUUUAUGAUGAUCAUAAAAACUAUUGUACGCGUCUGGUAACUCUCCAGCCAAAUGGGAAAACAGGUUUUGAGCCCUGUUGAGCUUUUCCACGUUGAUGGCUGUUAGCACAAAGCUGAUGCUCUGGGCCCCGGGGAGCAGGUGGUACAAGGGAGUCGGGAAGUGCCCUGUGAUGAAAGAGAAGAACAAAUGAGAAGGGAUGCUGUGGGGUUCCUAUAGGAAUCCAGAAGCAUAAAAAACUGAUCUGAGAGUUGGCAGGUGAAUGCAUGAAGCAGCUCCUUGAGAGUGAUAAAGAGGAAGCCAGUUCCACUGCCGUUGUUUGGCCUUUCAUCGUCACACACGCAGGAAAAUCAUUUACUUGAGAACGUCCAUCAAAAGAACCUGAUACACGAAUGUUUGUCUUGAGCAAGUGCUUUAAGAGUGCGUGACGCUUGAAAGCAGUGAAUAGGCUGUUGAUAGCAGUUGGGUGCUACGGGAGAGUGAGAACCGACCUCAGUUGGCACCGGUUCUUUCCAUAGGCAAACAAGCACGGGCUCUGUAAGGUGUCCUGCUUCUCUGUUCCAGUUAUAGCUGUGGAAAGUACGGGGACAUUUCACUGAGCCACACACAGGUACUUCCUCAUCAGAUGAUGCCCGCAGUCUCACUCAUCAGUAUAAGGUGAAAAUGGUGGUGAUGAGUGGACUGACAGGGCAGUGUGUAGAUGGGAGGUGCAGGAGCAGCAGUGCCCACGUGGCUGCUGGGCUGGGUGGGGGCACUCAGUCACCAGUGGGUGCUGGCUUGAGUUAUGCAGUGUUUUGCAGAGGAGCCUGGCUCCUAAUCACAUGCCUUCUGAUGCUACUAUUUGCUAUCAGUACAGCUGGAAUAGAUAAUGCUUUGUUUCUGUCCUUAGUUGCCAUAUCUUUGCUAGCGGAAAUAGCCUGCUCUUAUUUUUGAGGGAGAUGGAAACUGCUUUACUCUGCUAUUCUUUUUGUAUCUUUUCCUUUUUCCUGCCAAGAUGAGCAUAAUGUGAUUUGUAGUGGUUACUUUCUGGACAAAGCGAUCUGCGAUGAAAGCUAAAUGACUCUGUUUUGCCAGCAUCUGGAGUUCCAAGUUUCUUUGUAUCAUUUUGUUUUGCUCUUUUGUACGGACUUUGAUCACAUUGAAGUUGCAAGAAAGUAACAUAAUGGUGUUUAAGUGGAAGAGGAAAGUAUAAAAGCUGUUUCACUUGUCAUGAGCCCGUGCUCUGCCUGGGUAGUGAGCUUCCAGCUGACUCCCAUGGCAAAAGUAAAUACCGAAAAAUAAGAAGUACGUGGGCUUCAUGGCUGGGUGCAGAGUUAAUAUUUGUAAUGAAUUCCAAAUGGAAGCUCCUCCCCACUUUCUGGUUCGUGGUGAACAAGUUAUGAAGGGUUGUCUUUGGUCUUGGUGAAUUGUUGAGUUUUGAGACUGUGUUUCUUCUUAGCAGAUGUGGGUGCCUGCAGUUUGCAGGUCUUGUGUCUUGCACCGGAGGCCGUAAGGGAGCUGUGCAGUGCUGGCUCGUGCUCUUUGGGUACCUGUGGGGUGGGUGUUCUUUGGACCAGCAGGACAAAAUUGGGUCUCUGUGCUGGUGGGCAGUGCUGAGGAUUGAAAUGGUGUUCAGAUUGUAAUUAAUUGUCUUGUUUUCUAUAUAGAAAAUAUCAUAAGUAGAAGAACACAUUCGUCUUUAUAAAUCAUAGCUCUUCACUUGUUUUUGUGGUGUGUCAAAAAGGCUUGAUACGCUUCUGGUACUGAAGGGAAUGGGACACUGCAGAGGUUCAAAGGGUGAUCCCACACUGCAGAACUCUUUGCGGUCUGCACAUGUUUCAUACACCUUGUAGGCUGUCUGAAGGCUUCCAGCAUCUGGUACCAGAAUGCUGAUUUUGGGGCAGGCACACAGGUUAAAGAAAAUCAACAAGGUGCUAAACAGGCACUGUCCCUCCAUUGGUCUCCUGUUCUCAUACAGUUUAGGUGCGCUGAAGAGAGAAUGUGUUCUGCCCAGCAGAUCAGGCGUGUUUUCUACCUCCUUGCCGAAAAGCUGCCCAAGGUGAAGGUGAUGUACGCAGGAGUUCACAACUACGGUUCUGGUCCAAGAAUCUUCUGCCUGUUCUGUAAUGGAAACUGUUCCAGAAAUGUGAAUGGCAGCCAUGCUCACAGACAACAGAAACCUUCUCCUGCGGAGCUUCUGGCUCCCACCAUCACUGGAGCCUGGGAUCUGCCCUGGUGAUCACACCUGGGGGGACAGCAGCUCCAAAUGACUUUCAGCACAUGCUCGUGGGACUUGUUCCAGCAAAUACACUUCAGACUUACACAAGCAAUUGUUGAAAUAUUUUACCAAGAGUUAUUCUGGGAAGAGCUGCCGGCUGUGGUCUGUUUGAUAACGUUAUGCCUGUUUUCAGAGGGCACGCCUGUGGGGAAAUGCUGUCUUCAGGGCUGUGGAAUGGCAGGACUGGAACCUGAGAAGUGGUGUGGGUGGGGUAGGGGCACAUUUCCUUUAUUUUCUGAGUAACUUUUUUAAUGAGAUGCUGCUGAUUAAGAUAUACUUUAUUUUUGGACUGAGCAUUAAUGUCUUACUGCAUUGUUUUGGUAGACGGGCACAUCUGGGUGGGUCAGAUGUGGCAAUAAUUGCCACAGUUUGGAAACUUGGUUUUCUCCUGAGAUGUGUGAGAGCUGAUGGUUCACUGCAGAGGAUCUUGCAUCAUCUCCCAGCCUUAUGUGGGCAUUCUGAUGGGCGAGCAGGAUUGUGUCAAAUACCACUGAAUUAUCUGCUCCUUUAAUCUGUCUGUAAGUUUCAAUUUGUUUUUAUUCAGGGCCUUUUUUUUCCCCCCUCUCUCUCUGGUCUAGAGAGAAAAUAGCUCCAGUGAUAAGACAUAGCUGGCAUUUGGGGUCAGUUCUGCAAUGCACGUGGGUUAUUUUUCCUAUAGUGUGAAUAUGAUCCUUCCUUUCUUAGUGUAAAAAUGAACAAAUGAGAGCAGGGCAGGCUUUCUUUUCCUGCCUGUGAGCUGCUCUCAAUUGCACGCUGUUGGCUGUGGGCCCCUUCGGAUGUUGAGGAGAAUGGAAGAGAAUUAUUUGUCAUCUUUUGCAUUGUCCAGUUAUUCUAACUUGGGAAUAAGGAACCGCUUUCUUGUGCGCGUUACUUAUCUUGGGAAGUUGGCUGUAAAAUAAGUCUUUUAUUAAAUCACUUUGUAAGAAGUGGA